rnacentral:rRNA from 1 species
AUACGUAGGGUGCGAGCGUUGUCCGGAAUUACUGGGCGUAAAGAGCUCGUAGGUGGUUUGUCGCGUCGUCUGUGAAAUUCCGGGGCUUAACUCCGGGCGUGCAGGCGAUACGGGCAUAACUUGAGUACUGUAGGGGAGACUGGAAUUCCUGGUGUAGCGGUGAAAUGCGCAGAUAUCAGGAGGAACACCGGUGGCGAAGGCGGUGCUCUGGGCAGUAACUGACGCUGGGGAGCGAAAGCAUGGGUAGCGAACAGGAUUAGAUACCCUGGUAGUCCAUGCCGUAAACGGUGGGCGCUAGGUGUAGGGGUCUUCCACGACUUCUGUGCCGUAGCUAACGCAUUAAGCGCCCCGCCUGGGGAGUACGGCCGCAAGGCUAAAACUUAAAGGAAUUGACGGGG